GGGGGUGACUCGGUUUCGACGGGGAUUGGAAGCUAAGGUCGCAUGCCGGAGUGGGCUGGCUCCGUAAAAAAGCCCAACUCAUACAAACGCCGAUACUGACGUUCGUUACGCACUGGCCGCUUAAUUAAGCGACCACGUUUCAUGCUUUGUCGCCCAUGCAGGGCAUGAAACGUUAAUUCAGUGGGCUAGUUUUCGCGGUUGCCUGUGACGCGGAGGCGAAAUCCUAACAGGCUCCCCCGAAGGGAAUCCUGUUCGUGGGAGUUCCGAGGGUUAAGCCAAUACACGAACUAAGCAUGUAGAAGCCUUAUGUGAAAGAUUUUCGGACGCGGGUUCGAUUCCCGCCACCUCCACCA
rfam:Geothermobacter sp. EPR-M contig_5, whole genome shotgun sequence.